AGAGAAAACUCGGGGCACAAGUCAUAACAAAUAAAAGUGAAACGAAUUUUUUGGAAGUUUAGUGGGGGGACGGGUAAGAAACAGGGGGAAAGGGCCCCUUUAGGGUUCGGAAAUAACUCAGGGAAAACUUGUGCUAAUACCCGAAUGUGCCCCCCCGGAUUCCAUUUUGGGGGUGGGAAAGAAUUUAUCGCCUUUAGAGCGGGCCCGCGUCUGAUUAGCUAGGUUGGUGAGGUAAAGGCUCACCAAGGCGACGAUCAGUAGCUGGUCUGAGAGGAUGAUCAGCCACAUUGGGACUGAGACACGGCCCAAACUCCUACGGGAGGCAGCAGUGGGGAAUCUUGCGCAAUGGGCGAAAGCCUGACGCAGCCAUGCCGCGUGAAUGAUGAAGGUCUUAGGAUUGUAAAAUUCUUUCACCGGGGACGAUAAUGACGGUACCCGGAGAAGAAGCCCGGCUAACUUUGUGCCAGCAGCCGCGGUAAUACGAAGGGGGCUAGCGUUGCUCGGAAUUUCUGGGCGUAAAGGGAGCGUAGGCGGACAUUUAAGUCAGGGGUGAAAUCCCGGGGCUCAACCUCGGAAUUGCCUUUGAUACUGGGUGUCUUGAGUAUGAGAGAGGUGUGUGGGACUCCGAGUGUAGAGGUGAAAUUCGUAGAUAUUCGGAAGAACACCAGUGGCGAAGGCGACACACUGGCUCAUUACUGACGCUGAGGCUCGAAAGCGUGGGGAGCAAACAGG
rnacentral:rRNA from 1 species